rnacentral:lncRNA from 13 species
AUUGCGUUAUAAUGGAUGGAUUUAUCUUCUUUCUUCCUUUUUUCAUCCACAUAUAAUCAUGUUGGAAUCAGACUUCCUGUUCCUUGAUGCUCAAGAGAGGGAGAAAAAAAGACAAGAUAAGUCUAUAGUGGACCUUGGCACUUGGAAAUUCACCAGGGAAAAACUAGAUGAUACUGUGUGA